AUGUGGGCUUUCAGCACCAGAAACAAGAAACAAGAUAUAGGAAAGAGAUCUUGUCUCAAUUGUGCCGUUUGUACAAUGGAAUCAAACAGUAAGUACCCUGCAAAGUGCUGGGAGCCAGCUUUCAGUGAAGUAGAAGGGCCGGAACUGUUGCUGGACUCCAACAUCCGCCUCUAGGUGGUCCUACCCAUCGUAAUUAUCGCUUUCUUCAUAGGCAUGAUCCACCACUAUGUGUCAUCCUGCUGCAGAGUGAUAAGAAGCUCACCUAGGAACGAGUGUCUGAGAGUCAAGUCCUAAUUCAAAGCAGAGUCCUCAGGGAAAAUGGAAAAUACAUUCCCAAACAGUCUUUCUUGACACAAAAAUAUUACUUCAACAACCCAGAAGAUGGAUUUUUCCAAAAAAAAAAAACUAAAAGGAAGGUAGUGCCACCUUCUCUUGUGACUGAUCCUACUAUGCUGACAGGCAUGAUGAAAGGGAAUGUAACAACAAAUGUUCUUCCUAUGAUUCUUAUUGGUGGAUGGAUCAACAUGACAUUCUCAGGCUUUGUCACAAGCAAGGUCCCAUUUCCCCUGACCCUCUGUUUUCAGCCUGUGUUACAGCAAGGAAUCGAAUUCCUUGCAUUACAUGCAUCCUCAGUGAGUUCUGCACCCAGGUACUUCCUCAAUGGAUUUGGGCUUCCGAGCAUUUACUCUCUGAUUCUAGGCCAAGAUAAUGCCACUGACCAAUCACGAAUGAUGCAGGAGCAGCCAUGGCCAUGCCCGCAGACACCAACAAAGCUUUCAAGACAGAGUGGGAAGCUUUGGAGCUGAUGGAUCACCAGUGGGCACUAGAUGAUGUCAAAGAAGAGCUCAUGGCAAAAGACCUUCACUUCGAAGGCAUGUUCAAAGAGGUAUUACAGACCUCUAUUUCUUAUAAUAUUCUUACAAUUUUUCAAUAUUUAUUCAUUUAUUCAGCAUUUAUUUCAUUUGAAAAUGAAAAGUCUCCCAGGUUUGGGAGCAGAGAGGCUGAAGAAAAGAUUUUGGUAACAAGAAAACCUGGAGUUGAGCAGCACCUACAGAUCAGUGAGCAGCUCCAGCAUGAUUGUACAGAAGAACUAACAGGCACUGGAGUCAAGCCUAGAGAACAGGCACAGAUUUCUCGUGUGCUGUGUAGAAUUAUGAAAAAUGUAUCCAUGAGCCUGUCUCUAAUGGAACGGGGAAUUCAGCCUUGGUGCCCAGAAGCUGUGAGCCUCUCCGGUCCGCUGCCUCCUCGGCCGCGGCUCCUUUUUCUGUGUGGCAUUCUCUACGUCCACAAUGACACUGAAAUUGUGUCUGGGGCAAAAGCAGCUGUAAGCCCACUGAGCAUCAUUAGCCAGAGGACAGGACAGGGGAGUUAUGUGCUACCUGGCCUUUCAGGGUCUCCUUACUGCAAGUCGGCACCUGUCUCUUCAGACCCCAAAAACUUCUCCCUCCUCUGA